AGAGUUUGAUCAUGGCUCAGAUUGAACGCUGGCGGCAUGCCUUACACAUGCAAGUCGAACGGUAACGCGGGGCAACCUGGCGACGAGUGGCGAACGGGUGAGUAAUACAUCGGAACGUGCCCAGUAGUGGGGGAUAGCCCGGCGAAAUCCGGAUUAAUACCCCAUAAUAGAUCGAAUGGCAUCAUUUGGUUUUGAAAGCUCCGGCGGUUAAAGAUGAGUAUGCGUCUGAUUAGCUAGUUGGUGAGGUAACGGCUCACCAAGGCGACGAUCAGUAGGGGAUCUGAGAGGAUUAACCCCCACACGGAUACUGAGACACGGAUCCGACUCCUACGGGAGGCAGCAGUAAGGAAUAUUGGACAAUGCCCGCAAGGGUGAUCCAGCCAUGCCGCGUGCAGGAAGACGGCCCUAUGGGUUGUAGACUGCUUUUAUACCGGAGAAAACCUUCCCUCGUGAGGGGAGCUGAUAGUAUGGUAAGAAUAAGCAUCGGCUAACUUCGUGCCAGCAGCCGCGGUAAGACGAAGGAUGCAAGCGUUAUCCGGAUUCAUUGGGUUUAAAGGGAGCGUAGGUGGCCUUAUAAGUCAGUGGUGAAAUCUCUGGGCUUAACCCAGAAAUUGCCAUUGAUACUGUAGGGCUUGAGUAUAGUUGCCGUUGGCGGAAUAUGACAUGUAGUGGUGAAAUACAUAGAGAUGUCAUAGAACACCGAUUGCGAAGGCAGCUGACGAAACUAUAACUGACACUGAGGCUCGAAAGUGCGGGGAUCAAACAGGAUUAGAUACCCUAGUAGUCC
rnacentral:rRNA from 1 species